UCAAGGUGUAACGUUAGGGGAUCUACUGUUGUUAGAGGGGACUUUUAUUUUGAUUGUUGUUGUCACUGGUGCCGCGAAAAAGUGAACAGGGAGCUGGUAAAAAGAAAGCUGCGAUGCGGUGAAAAAUGUGUUGGUCUUCGGGUAGUUUAACGUUAACAAGUUUAUGUUUAGACCGUGACCCGUGAUAGACCUCGGAACCACAUGACGCCGCUUUAAAGUCUCCGAUCGCGCCAACAAGUCUGUUGCUAAAUGCGACCACCGAACAAGUUUUCCGCCAUGUCUGUGCGUGAAGGCGGUAGGAGAUGAAUACUACCGUGUUUUCUUUGUGUUUACACAGUUUUUGUUUCAGUUGUUCAAACGAACGUGAAACGCAGUGGAUGCCAUUGGUUGUAUGAAAAGGGUUCACAGAGUCGUCAGAUAGGGCCGUCUUCUCAAUUCGCCUCCAUCAGCUGUUGCUGCGGCCUCGUCAAGCUGCAGUUGUUGUUGUCAGGAUCACGGGGACAAACGCAGAUAAGACGCAUUUACCCUGCCAUUGGAUGUCAUUUAGCGCCUCAUCUACGAGUGACGAUGUACACCGUUUUCCUCCGUUCCCACUUGAACACUGACAAAAGGGGCAGGAUGGGAUAAUCCAGGACAACUUCAUCAGCAGCUUCUUCUCCUGCAGUGACGCAGUUUCUCCCCUUUGAGAAUCAAUAUCUGUCUACAUAAGAGAGUCUGGAUUAGAGGAACCCUCUCAUGUCAACUCUGGAGGGAGAGACAGUCUUUGGACAUCUUCAGAGACACUUCAUUCUGGGACAGACCACCCUGCCCUUGACGGCAAGUGCUUCUCUCCAGCACAUGCUGUCUGUCCAGGAUGUCCUUCAGGACUCCCAGUGGCUGUCAUUCUGUCAACCCCCAACCAUCUUAUCGAUUCACACAUCUCUGCUGAAGCUGAGGAAGCUGGCGCGCCAAUUCCUUCUGUUCCUCUACCAGCGUCGACCUUUUCAUUUCUUUAAAACCCCGUUUUAGAUGGAACAAAAUAAACUAGGCCGGUGUAUCCACCCUCAAUGCCCAUGGAAGCCUGUCUUGUUAACUUUCUUCCGGUUCUCUGUUGUGCUAAACCUGUUUGUGGUGUCUCUUUAUCUGCCUUUG
rnacentral:lncRNA from 1 species